ensembl:lncRNA
UUUUAGGAAGAUGUUAAGUGUGGCAGUGGUGGAGAAAAUGCUGCUCAUGUGGCGUGGGUGAACUUUAUGACCGAAGUCGGUCACCAGAUGCAGACACAGAGAGGACAGACGGGAAGAGACAUGGCUGUCAUUUCCAGUUCUGCCCCUCGGUACUGUGUGACCCUGGAUAAGUCAUCGGAGCUUUUCUGUGCCUCCCUUAGAAGGUGAAAAAGCAGGUCCAGUCUGCCAGGACAGCCUGUUGGCCCUGCCUUAAAUGAGCACCCAAAGUGUUUCAACUUGACUCAUGGCUUGAGAACUUCUGUGAAGACUCUGGAACCUUCUGGAAUGGUCAUUUGAAUUGCAGCAUUCAACCACUUUGUGAAGAGGC